rnacentral:rRNA from 1 species
UGAGGGAAAGGUGAAAAGAACCCCGGAAGGGGAGUGAAAUAGAACCUGAAACCCUGUGCCUACAACCGGUCGGAGCACUUUAUAUGUGUGACGACGUGCUUUUUGUAGAACGAGCCAACGAGUUACGAUAUGUAGCGAGGUUAAGUACUUAAGGUACGGAGCCGAAGGGAAACCGAGUCUGAAUAGGGCGCAUAGUUGCAUGUCGUAGACCCGAAACCGGGUGACCUAUCCAUGGCCAGGAUGAAGCGACAGUAAAAUGUCGUGGAGGUCCGAACCACGUUGGUGUUGAAAAACCAUGGGAUGAGCUGUGGAUAGCGGAGAAAUUCCAAUCGAACUC